rnacentral:rRNA from 1 species
GACGAACGCUGGCGGCGUGCCUAAUACAUGCAAGUCGAGCGAAGUUUUUCUGGUGCUUGCACUAGAAAAACUUAGCGGCGAACGGGUGAGUAACACGUAAAGAACCUGCCUCAUAGACUGGGACAACUAUUGGAAACGAUAGCUAAUACCGGAUAACAGUAUUUCUCGCAUGAGAGAUAUUUAAAAGUUGGUUAUGCUAACACUAUGAGAUGGCUUUGCGGUGCAUUAGCUAGUUGGUGGGGUAAAGGCCCACCAAGGCGACGAUGCAUAGCCGACCUGAGAGGGUGAUCGGCCACACUGGGACUGAGACACGGCCCAGACUCCUACGGGAGGCGGCAGUAGGGAAUCUUCCGCAAUGGGCGAAAGCCUGACGGAGCAACGCCGCGUGAGUGAAGAAGGAUUUCGGUUCGUAAAGCUCUGUUGUUAGGGAAGAAUGGAUAUGUAGUAACUAUACAUGUAAGAGACGGUACCUAACCAGAAAGCCACGGCUAACUACGUG